rnacentral:rRNA from 1 species
AUUGCCUUAGUAACGGCGAGUGAAGCGGCAAUAGCUCAAAUUUGAAAGCUGGCCCUUUCAGGGUCCGCGUUGUAAUUUGUAGAGGAUGAUUCGGCGAGGGCUCCCGCCUAAGUCCCCUGGAACGGGGCGUCAUAGAGGGUGAGAAUCCCGUAUGCGGUGGGCUGCCUUAGCCAUGUGAAUCUCCUUCGACGAGUCGAGUUGUUUGGGAAUGCAGCUCUAAAUGGGAGGUAAAUUUCUUCUAAAGCUAAAUACCGGCCAGAGACCGAUAGCGCACAAGUAGAGUGAUCGAAAGAUGAAAAGCACUUUGGAAAGAGAGUUAAAAAGUACGUGAAAUUGUUGAAAGGGAAGGGCUCGCAGCCAGACUUGUCCGCAGUUGCUCAGCCGGUCUCCUGACCGGCGUACUCUUCUGCGGCCAGGCCAGCAUCAGUUCAGGCGGUCGGAUAAAGACCUCGGGAAUGUAGCUCCUCUCGGGGAGUGUUAUAGCCCGGGGUGGAAUGCGGCCAGCUUGGACUGAGGAUCUCGCUUCGGCAAGGAUGCUGGCGUAAUGGCUGUGAGCCGCCCGUCUUGAAACACGGACCAAGGAGUCUAACAUCUAUGCGAGUGUUUGGGUGUCAAACCCAUACGCGUAAUGAAAGUGAACGGAGGUGGGAACCCGCAAGGGCGCACCAUCGGCCGAUCCU